GGAUGAUAUCAUCCCUUUUUCAUCUUCUCUCCACCGAUUUUUCCAGCAAAGAAAUGGGUUUUGAAAGCUUCAUAUUUUCAGCAACUUUGAGGCUUAGCAAGUAAGUGAUUUUAAUGUCUUUCUUGAAGAUUUUUACAUUUUUGUAACCCCUAAAGCAUGAGCUUUCAUAAGAGGGGACUAUUGUGCAAAAUGAUGAAGAGUCUAGGGUUUUGCCAUGAGAGUAAAUGUGUUGUUUGUUGUGUUUUUAUGGAAGAUUAUGAGUUCUAGUUGUCUAAAAAACAACUUUUGUGAAAGAAAUUGCAUGAAAACACCUUAAAAAGGGCUAGAUUGCUAAGUUGUAAAAUGAGUUGUAAAUGUGUGAAAUAGUUGAAAUUAUGAGUUGCUAUAGUUAUGAAAAUGGUUCAUCUAGACUCAAGGAGUACAUAAAUGUGAUAAAAAUUAUUUUACGAGCCUAGGGGUAAUUUGGUAAUUUUGGUAAAAUAUAGGGGCAAAAUUGUAAAAAUAGCCCAAGUGUGUCAAUGGACUAAUUUGAUCUGUACAUUGUUUUAAUAAGUUGAAUGUGAUGUUUUAGAUGAUGAAAAUCGAGAUUUGGACCUAAAACGGAAAGAAAUCGAUUAAGGGAUAAUUACGUCUUUUUUUACCUUUGUGGUAUUGAGGUAAGUUCGUAUGUAAACAAUACCAUGUUAUACAUGUAUUUAAAUGUUAUCAUUACAUGAAUUGUACAAAUAUUAACGUGUAUGUGAUUAAUAGAAAUAUGAUAAGACAAAGCCUUAAUAGACGAGGAAAAAUCCCGUUUGAACAUUUGGAAUAGAAUAGGAUACGAGUGACAUGUCACUAGGAAUUAUGAGUCUAGAUGACUAGCUCGAGAGUGAGCAUUGAAAUGUCAUGAGAUAUGAGGUAGCUUUAGCUACAAUUGAGGCACUUAUGUGCAAAGGCUUUUCCGAGUAUCCAAUUAGUAUUCCAAGUGUUCAACGGGUAAUCAAAGGAAAGAGUUGAUGAUGGUCCCAAUGAGGUAAGUCAUUGGUGAGUAUGCACUUGAGUUAUGUUACGAGUUGUGCAAGUAUGUAUACUAAGCCUAUGAGAAUGCCUUGAUAUGUGAUGAUCUAUGAUGCAUAAUAUGUGUUCUUACCAUGAUGGAUGGAAUGAUGUUGUAUUAAUUUUGUGAACAAUGAUCAUGAAUGAGUAACUUAGCCUUGACAGAUUUGAGUUACUGCAGUAGUGUAACUUUGAAAAUACACUAAAAAUAGUGGAAAAUGAGUUAGAGGCAGAAUAAAAUAUGGAAUUAAAUAUUAAUGAGUCUAUUUUCACAUGAAAGAAAUAGGGGAAGAAAAAGAAUUCUAUAUUGUGUGAUAUUUGAAUUCUUGUAAAACAGGGUCUGAAUGAAUUCGAGAUCCCCUAUUCUGAUUUUAUAAAUUCACCAUAAAUUGUAAAAAAAUUAUUAAGAGUCAUACCUUAUAUUCAACGAUUCCUUAUUGAGUCUACUUUUACAGGAAACAAACGGCAUGGUCAUUGGAAUUCUGUAUAGGGAGAAAUUCGGUUCGUAGUGUACAGGGGUCAGAGUAGUCAUACCCUGAAACAUGGAAUACUUUAACUAAUAAACUGUACUAAAUGGCUUGACCAAAAAUUUUGAAAAUUUUAUGGAAGAAAUAUAAAUGAGUCUAAUUUUAGAGAAAAUUUAUGGAACUUAAUUCGGAGUUUUGUAGCUCCAGAUAUAAAUAAUUUAGUGACUGUUGUGCAGGAAGACAGCUUGUCGUAAACUUGAGAAUAUGUUGUAAACAUUGAUAAAACAAGUUAAUGAGUUGCUUAUUGUUUUCAUAUGAACUUACUAAGCGAAAGCUUACCCCCUUAUUUUCUAUGUUCUCUAGGGUUUCCAGGUUUGUUCGGGUUGGAGUUCGUCGGAGAUAUUAUCACACUUGCAAGCUAACGCUAUUGGUGUAGUGAUUUCAAGUACUUUGAGUCUAUGGCAUGUAUAGGAGUUUAAAUAUUAGAGUAUAUGAUAUGGCUUUGACCAUAUGUGUUGGCCUAUUUUGAUUAUGGGAUUAUAAAUUCAUUUUAAUUAUUUGAGAUUUCAUGGUCCUGUUUAGUAUAGAAGUGUUAGUAAAAGUUAGGUAGCACCUCGAACCCUGUCCCAGCGUCGGAUGCAGGCGAGAGGUGUUACAGGUCUAAUAAUCAAUUUUCCUUGAGAACAAGUGACACAAGAUAAAUCCUUGAAUUCAAGAAUCUUUUGGUUCUUU
rnacentral:lncRNA from 1 species